rnacentral:rRNA from 1 species
AGAGUUUGAUCCUGGCUCAGAAUCAACGCUGGCGGCGCGCUUAACACAUGCAAGUCGCACGAGAAAGUGGAGCAAUCCAUGAGUACAGUGGCGUACGGGUGAGUAACACGUGGAUCAUCUACCUUUUAGUGGGGAAUACCCCCGGGAAACUGGGGAUAAUACCGCAUAAGCUCGUAAGAGGAAAGCAGCAAUGCGCUGAAAGAGGAGUCCGCGGCUGAUUAGCUAGUUGGUGAGGUAAUGGCUCACCAAGGCGAAGAUCGGUAGCCGGCCUGAGAGGGCACACGGCCACACUGGCACUGAAACACGGGCCAGACUCCUACGGGAGGCAGCAGUGGGGAAUCUUGCACAAUGGAGGAAACUCUGAUGCAGCGACGCCGCGUGAGCGAUGAAGCCCUUCGGGGUGUAAAGCUCUUUCGACGGGAACGAUAAUGACGGUACCCGAAGAAGAAGCUGCGGCUAACUACGUGCCAGCAGCCGCGGUAAUACGUAGGCAGCAAGCGUUGUUCGGAAUUACUGGGCGUAAAGAGUGUGUAGGCGGUGCUCUAAGUCUGUUGUGAAAUCUCCCGGCUUAACCGGGAGGGUGCGGCGGAAACUGGAGUGCUUGAGGGUGGGAGAGGUAAGCGGAAUUCCUGGUGUAGCGGUGAAAUGCGUAGAUAUCAGGAGGAACACCUGUGGUGUAGACAGCUUACUGGACCACUUCUGACGCUGAGACACGAAAGCGUGGGUAGCAAACAGGAUUAGAUACCCUAGUAGUCC